GGGUCCAUAAACGUCUAGUUACAUUGGUUAUCCUCAGUAGAAAUUAACGUUUAAUCCCAUUAUUCCUGGGCUCUGGACACUCUAGUCCUCCCAUCUCAAGCCCAGUACACGGUAGUCCAAAAUUUCCCCGCAUUAACAGUUUAGUCCAAACUUUGGACGAGUUGGUCCAAAUUUCAGCCGAUUCAAAAAAUACCACCACUUUAUCUUGCCUUAAUUGCGCUUCUCAGCUUUACGAUGUUUAUCUUUUUAGAUUCAUAAUUUUUUUUGGAGAGAGAGAUAGACACAGAGGCGAUUUAGAGUUGUUGUUCUUCCUCAGAGAUUCGUUUUUCAGGAUAAGGAGGAAAUCCAUACUCCUGUUGAAAUUGGCCUUACUUGGGUGUUAAGAAUGAUCUCAAAAAGAUCCAUAACACUGUGAAAAUGAUUUAGCCAGUGACAAAUGAUACUAAAAAGAAGCAAGUAAGAGACAGCUCUGUACGAUUGUGGAUCAAGCGGCUUAAAAGGGUUAAGGUACGGAUUCAUAUUAAUUCAUGCGGAGAAAUAAAAUGAUCAGAAAGAGGGUUAAGAAUCAUUUGGUCGCAGUUAGUGAAGAUUGUUGGACAUGGAUAUCAUGAAGAGAUGAUUACCUCUUGAUUAUUCUAUUUAUAAAUGAUGGAUGUCACUAGGGUUGAAGACUAUCAUGUUGAUUUCUAAGAGACAAGUAAAAGCUCUUGUGGACAGGAUCAUUAGUCCCAUAUCCAGGACUCCAUUUGGAAGACGAAGAACUCAACGUAAUAAAAUUUCUAAGGAGAAGUAAAGAAGACUUAUGAUGUGCACUGAGUGCUUUACUUAUGAUAAUUAUUUUGUACAAAGUACUUCAUCCUUGGUCAUCACAACAGAACUACCUUCCCCCUUCCUUGAUGAUUUUUACUUUGUUAUUCUUGUUUGAAAACUCUAUAUUUUUGUAGAGUUUUUACUCUUUUCAAUUCUGUAGGGCUAGAUAAUUAUUGUCAGGAUAUGUGCACCAUUAUGUACACCUCUUGGACAAUGGUUAUUGUAUUACUUUGUUUAGAAAGAUUCUAUGUUUUUGGUUUUUAUUUUUUGCUGGUAUCUUCUCAACUUUCUGUAUAAUUACUUUUGGUAAUGUACACCAUCAUUAGAAAAA